ACCAUGCCUCAUGUAACAGAAUCACCGCUAGAGACCACUAGUACAUAUGAGUAUGAAGCCUCAGCUGAAACGGAAGAGCCACCUUCAGAAAGUAGUGGGUGCG